AAAACUGUGUUUUGGCCCGCCCAUUUGGGCCUAAUAGCUUUUUCAUAACCUAACUUUCCAUAACCCAAAAUAUGUCCACGGUUCCCAAAAAAAAUAUAAUUUUCAUGCACUAUCCACUGUUUAUAAUUUAAUUUCCAAAAUUACCCCGCCUGCCUUCCAUGUCAGCAGCCAUCUCCUUAUCCGUGUCAGCACGGGAAGUUGUGUUUUUAAUAAUUGAACACAGAAAUAUUAAGCUUUAGAGUUAGCAUUUGCAAAACCCACGACCCGACUCAAAAAUUUGGGGAAACGCUCUGACUUCCUCGCUUGUUGCCCUAUUCUCUCCUUUUGCCUGCAUUUUCAUGGGUGGUUUCUGGAAUCGGCGGUGGAGCUUCGUCUUCCUUUUGGGGUAAUCGCAGGUGAGUUUCCAUUUAACAAUUUGUUUGGCUGUUGAGAAAAAAUUUGGGCUAAAUGUUGUUUUGCAUUGUUCACGAGCUGUCCAAGCUUUUUGAUUUUUUUUUUUUUUAAACAUAAGAUGCUAUUUCGUAAUCUGAUUACGAUUUGCAAGCAAAGGUGGUAUUUUUCUGGCUGGCUCAAAAAUCGUGGGUUUAGGGUUUUUGAAAUUUAAUUCCAAUGGCACAAUAAGAUGCUAUUUGGUAAUCUGACCACGAUUUCCAGGCAAAUGUGGUAUUUUUGAGCCUGGCUCAAAAAUCGUGGGUUAGGGUUUGUGAAAUUUAAUUCCAAUGGCACAAUAAGAUGCUAUUUGGUAAUCUGAUCACGAUUUGCAGGCAAAGGUGGUAUUUUCAGCCUGGCUCAAAAAUCGUGGGUUUAGGGUUUGUGAAAUUUAAUUCAAAUGGCACAAAAGCAAAGAGACCCCUAGAUCCAGAAAACAGAGGGAGGGAAAAAAAACACAACUUUCCCUAUAUAUUAGAUGAGUGUCUCCCAACUCCCAUCCCACUCUAAGAGAGAACUUAUCGCCAAACAGGUCCCUUUUCUUUUAUUUUCCUUUAUUUUCUGGUUAUUUUCGACUGUCUGUGACCUUUUAACUUUCUCUUUUUAGUGUAAGUUUUGUAGAAUGUGAAACUUAUUUCUGAUUCUGGUGUUUUGCACCUUGUAUUAUAACCUUUCGAUUGAUAAGAUUAUGCGAGUAUUUGUGUGACUUUUUCAAUGUUUUUAUGGUACUCGGAUUGCAUAGUUAAGUUUCAAUUAGGUUUUAAAUUUUCUAUUUCAGAAUGGACAUUUGAAUUUCUGAUAGAGCUCUUAAAUUGGCCUGAAAUACCUCUUUUACCUAGACCUUUACUAGAUUCCAAUGUUUUUCAUGGUGUAUUUUAUAUGGAGGUGAAAAUGGAUUUCCAUUCUCUGAAUUUUAUUUUUUCCAAUUUUUUCUAAUAAUUUGUUGGAGUAGUUUUAUUGUGAUUAUUGUAGAGAGCAUGUGUAUUAUUUUUUAAUUUUUUAUUUUUCUUCAUGAUUUCCUUUUAUGCUAUGCUGGAAAAUUUUGCAUGAUGAUGCUGAGAAAAGAAUGCUUGAUUAUUUUUUUGUUCUAAUUUUUCCUACGUCCAAGUUGCAUUGGACUUAAGUGAAGAUGAAAAACAACAUCUUCAGAAUUUGGAAGAUGAAGAAGGCAGGUAUUAAUAGAUGUUAUCUUCACUUUUGGCUUAUUCUGUAAUUUACUGUAAGUAUUUGUGAAAUUCUUCUUUCACUGUUAGAAGUACCUUGAGCCGUCUAUUAAUGGUUGUGUUAGAAAGGGUGUCAUAAACUUACCUUAUGUUUGGUUCUUGGAAAGUAAUAAGAAAAGGAAAGGAAAAAAUGCUAGUGAAAAUGGUUUUCUCAUGUUUGGGUACCAUGCGAAAGAUGAAGAAAAAAAAAAACCAAAGAAAAGGGUUGGGGUGGUGGUGGUGUCCAUUUUCCUUAACAAAAAAUGAGGAAAGUUAGUGGAAAUUACAUUCUUUAGCAAUUUAAUUUUCUUUCCUUCAACUUUUCAAUGGACAAUCAAAUAAAAGAAAACUUUUAUUAUUUUUUCUUAUAUUUCUCUGCUCUAUUUUUUUUCCUUAAAACUUUCCAGAAACAAAACAUAGGCUUAGCUUAUAUGGUUAGAAGUCGAAUAUAGCUGUAACAGUUAUGAUAUUGAGAAGCUACAGAUUGCUGAUCUAGUGUGGUGGUUCCAAACAUUUAUUCAUGUUAUGGAUUUGUUAAAGUUUGUGUUCAAAAAUAUUUCAUGCUUCAUAGUUGUUCUAUCCUGUUUGUAUUUCUCGAAUCUAGCCACCUUUCAUAAAUUUCAUUUUCAUGUUAGUGAAACAUAUUUCUUGUGCUUGUAUAUCUAUUAUUCCAUCCAUUGUUAGACAAAAGUAUAUGGCAUCCAGUAUUUUGGUACUGUAUUAAUGGAAUACUAUAAUUAAAAUACCAACACUAACUUGUUUAAGUAUUUAACUCUUCUAUCAUGCUUUGAUAUUUUUUUCUCCUGUUUAAUGUCAUUGCCUUCAUUAGUUCUGGUCUCUUGUAUCCCCUUGACAUUUAUGCUAUUUUGGGAUAAAUUGAAUGGUGGAAAGUGGUAUAGGACUUGUUAGAAUGUACCAAGAUAUUUGUGGAUACCUGAGCUCUCAAAACUUUCCUGAGGUUAGAAGGGAGUAAGAUUUUAGAAUCUUUCGAGUUUAAGCUUGAUUCCUAAGGGCCUAAAGGCUAAUGAAAGAGAGGAACUCUGUUAAUGGAAUUUAAAUUACUCAAUCUUAUCCCUGGAGGUGUCUUCCAAAAAGUCUCAUGAGCAACAAACUGUGGCUGCUCAAGAUGUAGACAGGUGGGCUUAUCAAGCGACAUGUCUCCUCUUCAAUGUUCUUAAUCGCUUAAGUCAUGUGAACUAAUGACCCCAAUAUUUGUAUAUGCAGUUUCACUAUAUUGUGUCAACAAUUCUUAAAUUCUCCAAAAAAAUAAAAAUAAAUUCAAAUAUCCAUCUUUGGGUAAUUUUGCAUUAUUAAUAAUAGGUCACUGACCCUUUUCCUAAUGGGUAAUGAGGUCUCUAAGUAAAAACUGGGGACUUUACACAGGCUACCCUGUUGUUUACAACAUAGCCCCCCACCUCUCCCCCUCCCCCUCCAUUUUUUUUUUCCUUUCUUUUUCUUAUGAUACAAUAUCGGGAAAACUGUGUUUUGGCCCGCCCAUUUGGGCCUAAUAGCUUUUUCAUAACCCAACUUUCCAUAACCCAAAAUAUGUCUACUGUUGCCCAAAAAAUUAUCCUUUUCAUGCACUAUGUACUGUUUUAUAAUUUCAUUUCCAAAAUUACCCCUCCACAUCCAUGUCAGCAGCCAUCUCCCUCUCCAUGUCACGGGUUGUGCUUUUAAUAAAUAAACACAAAAAUCUUAAACAAGUUAGCAAAACCCACGCAACACCCGACUCUGAAAUUUGGGGAAACCAGGUUAGGGCAAAAGGAGAGAAAGUCACAGAGAGUCCUUAGCUUCUUUCUCUUCUCUCUCUUUUCUCUCUGUUGUGUGAAUUUCUCAGUGCAAAAUCGAAAGCUUGUAAGCUGUAAUCGAUUCACGCGUGUCUCCAUACUACUGAUUCGCAAAUUUCUUCAGAUAAAGCCCACGCAACACUUGACUCUGAAAUUUGGGGAACCCAGGUUAGGGCAAAAGGAGAGAAAGUCACAGAGAGUCCUUAGCUUCGCUCUCUUCUCUCUCUUUUCUCUCUGUUGUGUGAAUUUCUCAAUGAAAAAUCGAAAGCUUGUAAGCUGUAAUCGAUUCACGCGUGUCGCCGUACUACUGAUCCGCAAAUUUCUUCAGAUAAAGCGAUUUCAUCUCCAGGUUCUUGCCUUCAUUUAGAGAUUUCCACUCUGUUUUGAGCUCUCUUACACUAUUCAAGUUAGAUUCGCUUUCUAGUCCUUCUUUUAGCUUCUGUUUGGUUGCUCAGAAAACUGAGGUAAAUGAGGAAAAUAUGAGGCGAAACUUAUAUGAUUAUUUUUUUUUGUAUUGUUGUUGGUUUCUUUGCAAUGAAAGAGAGCAAAUGUUUAGGCGCAGCUGUAAAUCUCGAGCUUUGUUCUUUAUUCCCGUUUUUUUUCUUCCGGCGACCACACGAACGAACGAUAAAUAUGUACAUUUUUGUGUAUUCUUUACUUGGUCUCCUGAUUACUAUUUUUGUUUGGUAAUUUUUUUCAUUGAUUUCAUGCAUCUGGAACUAUUCAGUGCACGUAAUUUAGGUUUCUGGCCUAAUUUUUGGGAUUUAGGUUCUCUUGAGAUUGACAAUUAAUUAGUGUUUUUAUUUUUAAUUGCAAUUUAGCACCCGAGGAAAGCUGAAUUUCUGAACUUCUGUUGUGUGAUUAGAUGCUUAGUUUGUGACAUGACUGAUUUUCUCGAAUACCUAUGUAAUUUCUGCUCUGUGGGAUGGUUGAUUUUGUUUGACCUUGAUUGAAUUUUUAAACUCUUUUUUCGCUCUUGGAUUUGGUUCUUGAGGUAAGAUAAAGUUGUGGGUAUGUUUUUAUUUUAUUUGUUUUUGUGUUCUUUUAAUAAAAGCUUGCUGUUUUAUGUUGGGUGUUUGUUUAUUAAUGUUUUUUUAGCACUUUGUGUGGAUUGAUUGAUUGUAAUCCUAAUUUUCUGUGCUUCUUCUUAUUUUUUUUGUUUUUUUUUUUCUGGGUUUUUUGGUUUAAUUUGUUCAAGGGUUUUGUUUAAAGGUGGUAAGGAGCAGAUUAUAUAAGCCUAUAAGCAUGUAUUCAAAGCUGGUUGGAUUGAGGAAAGCUGAACUUCUGAACUUCUGCUGUGUGAUUAGAUGCUUAGUUUGUGACAUGACUGAUUUUCUCGAAUAUCUAUGUAACUUCUGGUCUGUGGGAUGGUUGAUUUUGUUUGACCUUGAUUGAAUUUUUAAACUCUUUUUAGUUAAAUGUUAAUGGAAACUGAUGCAAACCCUAAUGAGUAGGUGUGGCAAUAUGAGCUCUUGGGAAUUAGGACAUGUUUGGGAGACAAAGUUGGAGAAUUCAAGAACAGAUGCCAGAGGCAGUAUAAGCUAUUUGAACCAAAACCCACCUCUCCUGCCACCUAGAGAGCUGUUUUUUAUUUUUUAUCUUUAAAUUAAGUUUAUAAUUUGUUUUUCCUUUUUUUAAUGCAUAGAGCUUCACAUCAAACAACAAAUAAGGUUUUCUUACUUUGUGCCAAAUGGAGGGUCCUUAGCUUCUCUCUCUUUUCUCUCUGUUGUGUGAAUUUCUCAGUGAAAAAUCGAAAGCUUGGGUUCUUAUCCAUCUUAAUUUUUAUUAAAUGAAAACCGUGGGUUGGGUUCAAUCACUGCUACCAUUGGACUAUGAUACUCUUUGAUAAGAUAUAUUUAUUUUAAAUUUGUUAAGGUUCAUCAUUACAAAAAUACAAUUUUAAUUAUUUAAUUUGAAAU
rnacentral:lncRNA from 1 species